rnacentral:lncRNA from 1 species
AAUCCUGGUAUCUAUGAUGAAUUUAUAUACCUAGAUAUUUGAUUACAACUGCCAUAUUCCUGACUUGGUACAGAACAUUUAAAGACAAAAUGAUGGGUUGAAGUCUGUCUAUUUUAGCAAGAUUUAUUUUCAACCUUCACCACGUACGGCCUCUAUUACACGACAUAAAGCUACUGUUUUUUUAUAUCCUCCUAAACAUUCAUGAAAUUUCUGCAAAUAGACUUUAGGUAACC